CCUACGGGAGGCAGCAGUAGGGAAUCUUCCACAAUGGACGAAAGUCUGAUGGAGCAACGCCGCGUGAGUGAAGAAGGGUUUCGGCUCGUAAAGCUCUGUUGGUAGGGAAGAAAGAUAGAGGUAGUAACUGGCCUUUAUUUGACGGUAAUUACUUAGAAAGUAAAGGCUAACUACGUGCCAGCAGCCGCGGUAAUACGUAGGUGGCAAGCGUUGGCCGGAUUUAUUGGGCGUAAAGCGAGUGCAGGCGGUUCCAUAAGUCUGAUGUGAAAGCCUUCGGCUCACCCGGAGAAUUGCAUCAGAAACUGUUGAACUUGAGUGCAGAAGAGGAGAGUGGAACUCCAUGUGUAGCCGUGGAAUGCGUAGAUAUAUGG
rnacentral:rRNA from 1 species